UUUAUUUAUUUUGUUGAUUUAUUUUAUUUGUUUAUUGACAUUGGUGUUCUUAUGUGUUUUGGAUCUAUUAGGUUUAGCUUGAGUUUGAUGCAAUUAGGGUUUGAUUCUGGGUUUUGGAUCUAAAAUGGAUCGUGGGUUAUUGAUUAAUUGGAGUUUGAAUUUGUGGUUCUUUUGGUUUUGGUUUUGUUUAAUUGUAUUGUGUUGAACUGAAGUGCAUGCACUUUGUUUUUGUAAGAUGAAGUUGCGGAUUAUGUUUUAGAUCUUGUUUGGUUUUGUUAAUGAUACAUUGGGAUUGUAAUACAUGCAUCAAGUUAUGAUUUUUUGGAAUUUUGAUUGUAAUUUUGACGUGUUUUUUAAUCUUAUUUUCUUAGCUUGAUUUAUACAUGAGGAUAACAUGUAUAAUUUUCCUUUUUUGUUAUCCAACAAUUGUUUAUGCAUUGGACCUACUGGCUGCAUGGGAUAAAGUUCUUUUUUCCAUAUUGUCUACUUGGGAUUUUGUUUCAGGGUAGUUGUUUAUUGAUGAAUGUAAUACCAGUUAAGUAGCUUUUCACCUGUUGUAACCAUUCAGGUUCAGGGAUAUGUACAUUGCUACUGAGGUUGUAGCACUUGUUAUGGUUGGCUAUUUUUUCAUUUUGGCAGUUCAAUUUCUGAGCUCAGAACAUAUUAAAAAUGGCUUAAGCCCAGACUACUUUGAGUUGACUGUUUAUUAAUCACUAUGUGGAGAUAGGUUAGUAAGCUCAUUAUGAAUUCUGUUGCAUUGCUAUGGAAAUUGGGAUUAAUGUGGUUAUCAAUCAUCUCUGAUCUUGAUAUCAUAGAUAUUAAGAAGCAAUAAUUUUUGGUGCAGUCUGUAGACAUACUUUAAUCUCAGACUCUAUCAUUCAUAUUAAGGAGCAAUAACCUUUGAUGGAAUCUGUGGACAUAUUUAAACCUUGGCCUGUAUCUAUGUUGAUUUGAUUAUUAUAUGCAUGAGGAGAAUCUGGAUACAAAUUUCAGGAUUAAUAUGUUAUGUUGACUCUCUUUCGUGGGUGGAAAUCAAAACAAAGGGGUUUCACUAUCUAGUGCUUUGACAAGAAUGAGGGUUCUGAUCUGCAUGAGACAUCACAAAUGAAGUAACAGACACUGGAAACAAAUUAAAUAAUUUGGGACAGAAAUCAACUGCAAUGGGAUGCCAAAAGGAGUGGUCACAAGAUGUGAUAGAGGAGCACGAACAAUGUUAUGAUUCUUAAAACAAUUGUAGGUCAACAUGUAGACCAUGAUUUCAGAUUUCAUGGAGGAUAAAGAGCCCUAGAAGACAUUAAUGAUGAGGUGAUUUAAGUUGAAUACUUUAUAUCUCAAGUGUGUGGUCCCAAAGACAUUUGAACACUUGACCCUUGGUUGAAGCUAAAGGGCUUUUACCUCUUAGACUGAAAGGUAAACUUCAGAAUGUAGGGUUGCCAUUAGAUGGUCCUGAUGGAGAAGUAUAUUUACUUUAUUAUCCAUGUAAACCAUGGAAGAGUUGAAGACAUGUGCUCAAGAAGGUAGAUGAUUAAGGCAAUUCAAGUUGAAAUCUUCUUCCUGCAUGUGCUUGUCCGUCAUGGGUCAAAUCUCUAUAAUUUUUCUUUUCACAAGGAUUGUGGCACUAGGAAGUCUUUUAAGUAGAACAAUCAACAAUCAAAAUGAGCUGGAAAUUGUUAUUCGCUUGAUGCUCUAGCUUCAGGCCUAGAGGAACUGAUGCAUUAGUAUUGAGACAGUUGACACAGAGCAGACAUUCGGUGGGCAUGUGAAGGUGUAAUCCUUCAGCUGAUAUAUGGAAUAUAUGUACAUAUAUAUAUUUUGGUGAACAAAAA